rnacentral:rRNA from 1 species
UACGUAGGGGGCAAGCGUUGUCCGGAUUUAUUGGGCGUAAAGAGCGUGUAGGCGGCCUGGAAGGUCAGCUGUGAAAACUCGAGGCUCAACCUCGAGACGUCGGUUGAAACCACCUGGCUAGAGUCCGGAAGAGGAGAGUGGAAUUCCUGGUGUAGCGGUGAAAUGCGCAGAUAUCAGGAGGAACACCAAUUGCGAAGGCAGCUCGCUGGGACGUUACUGACGCUGAGACGCGAAAGCGUGGGGAGCAAACAGG